UUGGGUGACAUCAAUGUAGAACCUACACUUUGAAAACGGAACCCAUAUAAAGUGGUAUGACAUACGUUAAUUUCACCUAA
rnacentral:pre_miRNA from 1 species